CGCGAGUAGCGCGUCCCGGCGGGGCGGGCAGGCAGCACCGGCGGCGCGGGAUGCGCAGCGCACGGCGGCCGGGAGCGCGUCUCUCCAUGGAAACCCAUCACUUUCCACCCCGGCCCUUGUCAGCAGAGGAACGAGUAAAUGAGGAGCUGAGCCAAAAGGUUUAGCUGCACACCUAGCAUCAGCAUGAACUGCAAAAGCAACAGUGAUUGUUCAGAAAAAAUGGCUUCCAGCAGUCUCAAGGGGAAAAUCCCAGGUCUGCAGAGUAUCUCAGAAUGGAUUGUCCUUAUUUUCUAAAUCCUGGGAACACACAGUGCUGUGCCACAGAGAGUUGGAGAGGUACAAAGGCUUGGUAUACUGGGACAGAGAAUCAGAAGCACCAUUUGGAGGUCAAGGAAGGAGAAGACUACACCUUGUUCAACUUUGUUCCCUGAAGAAAGUAGCAAUGGAUUUGUGUGCCAAGGUCUUCCAGAAAGUUGCAAACAAAAUAAAUUCUGACCAAAAAAAAUUUAACUCUCCAUCUUAGUAGUGAAGUUUGAGUGUAAAAAACAUAAUGAUCUUAUUUGCAGAGCAAAGUAGCAUGUAAUUUAAAUUACUGAUCUCAAUGACAGAAGUUUAGUCUGAUUAUCAGAUUAAUGCUACUACAGUCAAGCCUGUAGAGUAUUGGGAAUUAGUCCCUUAAUUAAUAUUAAUAAUGAAAUAUUAGUGGAAGUUAUUUUUACUUUACUCUUUAGCUGUGCUAAGGAACAUGAAGGAUAGGGAUAUGAGACAGCCAGCAUGGCUUUGCCAAGGUCAAGUCCUGCCUGACCAGCCCAGAGGCCUUGAAUGAUGGAGUGACUCCAUCAGUGGCAGGGGAAGAGCUACAGACUGUGUCCCUCUGCUGUGCUCUGGUGAAACCUCACCUGCAGUGCUGCACCCAGCUCUGGGAUCCUCAGCACAGGAAGGACAUGGACCUCUUUAAGUGAGUUCAGAGGAGGGACACAGAGCUGAUCAGAGGGUUGGAGGACCACUCCUGUGAGGAAAGGCUGAGAGAAUUUGGUUUGUUCAGCCUGGAAAACUAAAGUCUUCAGGUUGUCCCAGCUGGUUUUAAAUUCCAUUUUGAAAAUAUGAGAACUGUGAGAAAAAAAUCUUGAAUCUGAUUGUAAUAAGACUAACAGCAACCUCUAGUUUUUCCCUUCUUUUAAUCUUUUUUGUUUAUGAUUAAGGUAGUUUAAGUUUCAUGUAUGACAUCUGUUUUCUUUUCUUUACACUUGAAAUAACAAGAUUGAAUCUCCACGGACUUGAUGUUUAUAUAGCCUUUUACAAUUUUAAAAUCUAUGUAACAUAUAUGUUAUUUGGUUUAGGCAUACUAUUUUAGUAAAGAUUAUACAACAGCUGUGCUGAAUGGGGACAAAGAUCCUAGGAAAGUGGCAAAGCUAUUAGAGAUAAU